UUCCACCUGUGUCUUGUCAGCCAUGUGUUUCCCCUCAGUGCCAGUUUGUCUCUUCUGUUUUUCUAACAAUGUUCCAGCAUCUUCACCGUGUUUAUUCCCCCCCCAAUUGAUCAAGAUUUGUUUUCUUGACCUCACCUUUGUCUUUUUGGAUACCACUGCCUCCCAGACUGUCUCCAUGCUCACCUACUCACACCGAGGAAAAUGAAAAGACCGCGUCAAUCACAGCUCAGCUUUGGGAAAGAAAAAGACACGGGACAAGAUGAGGAGGUGAAGAAGAUGAGAGAAGAAGAGCAGGCACCUUGCAAAAAGAUUGUGCAGGUGUGCUAGAGGACACAUGAUGGAGGGACGAGGGAGCAAGAACUCCUCGCCCAUGUCUGGCUGGGAGUUACAGGAAACUGCCCGCCCACCUACACCUGUGACCUGCACCCAUUGGAUACUACAAGCUGUCAAUCACA